UAAAUGAUAACAUCACUCUUUAUUCACCGACGUACAGAUACAGCGCUUUGGUGUCAGAUCUGAGACACACCUGGGAAGAGAGAAGGCAUGACGAUUGCGAAAUUUU
rnacentral:lncRNA from 1 species